rnacentral:rRNA from 1 species
UGGGGAAUCUUAGACAAUGGGGGAAACCCUGAUCUAGCCAUGCCGCGUGAGUGACGAAGGCCUUAGGGUCGUAAAGCUCUUUCGCCAGGGAAGAUAAUGACGGUACCUGGUAAAGAAACCCCGGCUAACUCCGUGCCAGCAGCCGCGGUAAUACGGAGGGGGUUAGCGUUGUUCGGAAUUACUGGGCGUAAAGCGCGCGUAGGCGGACCAGUUAGUCAGAGGUGAAAUCCCGGGGCUCAACCCCGGAACUGCCUUUGAUACUGCUGGUCUUGAGUCCGAGAGAGGUGAGUGGAAUUCCGAGUGUAGAGGUGAAAUUCGUAGAUAUUCGGAGGAACACCAGUGGCGAAGGCGGCUCACUGGCUCGGUACUGACGCUGAGGUGCGAAAGCGUGGGGAGCAAACAGGAUUAGAUACCCCCGUAGUCC